rnacentral:rRNA from 1 species
UACGGAGGGUGCAAGCGUUAUCCGGAUUCACUGGGUUUAAAGGGUGCGUAGGUGGGCAGGUAAGUCCGUGGUGAAAUCUCUGAGCUUAACUCAGAAACUGCCGUGGAUACUAUUUGUCUUGAAUAUUGUGGAGGUAAGCGGAAUAUGUCAUGUAGCGGUGAAAUGCUUAGAUAUGACAUAGAACACCAAUUGCGAAGGCAGCUUACUACACAGUAAUUGACGCUGAGGCACGAAAGCGUGGGGAUCAAACAGG